rnacentral:rRNA from 1 species
UACGUAGGGGGCUAGCGUUGUCCGGAUUUACUGGGCGUAAAGCGCGCGCAGGCGGUUCGUUAAGUCCGGUGUGAAAGCUCCCGGCUCAACUGGGAGAGGUCAUUGGAUACUGGCGAACUCGAGGGAGGCAGAGGAAGGUGGAAUUCCCGGUGUAGUGGUGAAAUGCGUAGAGAUCGGGAGGAACACCAGUGGCGAAGGCGGCCUUCUGGGCCUUUCCUGACGCUGAGGCGCGAAAGCGUGGGGAGCGAACCGG